rnacentral:rRNA from 1 species
UACGUAGGGGGCAAGCGUUAUCCGGAUUUACUGGGCGUAAAGCGCGUUAAGGCGGCCGGCUAAGUUGGUGGUGAAAUUCCAGGGCUCAACCCUGGAACUGCCUCCAAUACUGGUCGGCUCGAGUGCGGGAGAGGAAGGUGGAAUUCCCGGUGUAGUAGUGAAAUGCGUAGAUAUCGGGAGGAACACCAGUGGCGAAGGCGGCCUUCUGGCCCGCAACUGACGCUGUAGCGCGAAAGCGUGGGGAGCGAACGGGAUUAGAUACCCCGGUAGUCCACGCCCUAAACGAUGUGUACUAGGUGUUGGUCGUAUUGACGCGAUCAGUGCCGUAGCUAACGCAUUAAGUACACCGCCUGGGGAGUACGGUCGCAAGAUUAAA